GAGCUGUAAGUAAGCUUUGAUCCAGAGAUUUCCGAAUGGGGAAACCCAGCAUGAGUUAUGUCAUGUUAUCGAUAUGUGAAUACAUAGCAUAUCAGAAGGCACACCCGGAGAACUGAAACAUCUUAGUACCCGGAGGAAGAGAAAGAAAAUUCGAUUCCCUUAGUAGCGGCGAGCGAAACGGGAAGAGCCCAAACCAACAAGCUUGCUUGUUGGGGUUGUAGGACACUCUAUACGGAGUUACAAAGGACGACAUUAGACGAAUCAUCUGGAAAGAUGAAUCAAAGAAGGUAAUAAUCCUGUAGUCGAAAAUGUUGUCUCUCUUGAGUGGAUCCUGAGUACGACGGAGCACGUGAAAUUCCGUCGGAAUCUGGGAGGACCAUCUCCUAAGGCUAAAUACUCUCUAGUGACCGAUAGUGAACCAGUACCGUGAGGGAAAGGUGAAAAGCACCCCGGAAGGGGAGUGAAAUAGAACCUGAAACCGUGUGCUUACAAGUAGUCAGAGCCCGUUAAUGGGUGAUGGCGUGCCUUUUGUAGAAUGAACCGGCGAGUUACGAUUUGAUGCAAGGUUAAGCAGUAAAUGUGGAGCCGUAGCGAAAGCGAGUCUGAAUAGGGCGUUUAGUAUUUGGUCGUAGACCCGAAACCAGGUGAUCUACCCUUGGUCAGGUUGAAGUUCAGGUAACACUGAAUGGAGGACCGAACCGACUUACGUUGAAAAGUGAGCGGAUGAACUGAGGGUAGCGGAGAAAUUCCAAUCGAACCUGGAGAUAGCUGGUUCUCUCCGAAAUAGCUUUAGGGCUAGCCUCAAGUGAUGAUUAUUGGAGGUAGAGCACUGUUUGGACGAGGGGCCCCUCUCGGGUUACCGAAUUCAGACAAACUCCGAAUGCCAAUUAAUUUAACUUGGGAGUCAGAACAUGGGUGAUAAGGUCCGUGUUCGAAAGGGAAACAGCCCAGACCACCAGCUAAGGUCCCAAAAUAUAUGUUAAGUGGAAAAGGAUGUGGCGUUGCCCAGACAACUAGGAUGUUGGCUUAGAAGCAGCCAUCAUUUAAAGAGUGCGUAAUAGCUCACUAGUCGAGUGACACUGCGCCGAAAAUGUACCGGGGCUAAACAUAUUACCGAAGCUGUGGAUUGUCCUUUGGACAAUGGUAGGAGAGCGUUCUAAGGGCGUUGAAGCAUGAUCGUAAGGACAUGUGGAGCGCUUAGAAGUGAGAAUGCCGGUGUGAGUAGCGAAAGACGGGUGAGAAUCCCGUCCACCGAUUGACUAAGGUUUCCAGAGGAAGGCUCGUCCGCUCUGGGUUAGUCGGGUCCUAAGCUGAGGCCGACAGGCGUAGGCGAUGGAUAACAGGUUGAUAUUCCUGUACCACCUAUAAUCGUUUUAAUCGAUGGGGGGACGCAGUAGGAUAGGCGAAGCGUGCGAUUGGAUUGCACGUCUAAGCAGUAAGGCUGAGUAUUAGGCAAAUCCGGUACUCGUUAAGGCUGAGCUGUGAUGGGGAGAAGACAUUGUGUCUUCGAGUCGUUGAUUUCACACUGCCGAGAAAAGCCUCUAGAUAGAAAAUAGGUGCCCGUACCGCAAACCGACACAGGUAGUCAAGAUGAGAAUUCUAAGGUGAGCGAGCGAACUCUCGUUAAGGAACUCGGCAAAAUGACCCCGUAACUUCGGGAGAAGGGGUGCUCUUUAGGGUUAACGCCCAGAAGAGCCGCAGUGAAUAGGCCCAAGCGACUGUUUAUCAAAAACACAGGUCUCUGCUAAACCGUAAGGUGAUGUAUAGGGGCUGACGCCUGCCCGGUGCUGGAAGGUUAAGAGGAGUGGUUAGCUUCUGCGAAGCUACGAAUCGAAGCCCCAGUAAACGGCGGCCGUAACUAUAACGGUCCUAAGGUAGCGAAAUUCCUUGUCGGGUAAGUUCCGACCCGCACGAAAGGCGUAACGAUUUGGGCACUGUCUCAACGAGAGACUCGGUGAAAUCAUAGUACCUGUGAAGAUGCAGGUUACCCGCGACAGGACGGAAAGACCCCGUGGAGCUUUACUGUAGCCUGAUAUUGAAAUUCGGCACAGCUUGUACAGGAUAGGUAGGAGCCUUUGAAACGUGAGCGCUAGCUUACGUGGAGGCGCUGGUGGGAUACUACCCUAGCUGUGUUGGCUUUCUAACCCGCACCACUUAUCGUGGUGGGAGACAGUGUCAGGCGGGCAGUUUGACUGGGGCGGUCGCCUCCUAAAAGGUAACGGAGGCGCUCAAAGGUUCCCUCAGAAUGGUUGGAAAUCAUUCAUAGAGUGUAAAGGCAUAAGGGAGCUUGACUGCGAGACCUACAAGUCGAGCAGGGUCGAAAGACGGACUUAGUGAUCCGGUGGUUCCGCAUGGAAGGGCCAUCGCUCAACGGAUAAAAGCUACCCCGGGGAUAACAGGCUUAUCUCCCCCAAGAGUUCACAUCGACGGGGAGGUUUGGCACCUCGAUGUCGGCUCAUCGCAUCCUGGGGCUGUAGUCGGUCCCAAGGGUUGGGCUGUUCGCCCAUUAAAGCGGUACGCGAGCUGGGUUCAGAACGUCGUGAGACAGUUCGGUCCCUAUCCGUCGUGGGCGUAGGAAAUUUGAGAGGAGCUGUCCUUAGUACGAGAGGACCGGGAUGGACAUACCUCUGGUGUACCAGUUGUCGUGCCAACGGCAUAGCUGGGUAGCUAUGUGUGGACGGGAUAAGUGCUGAAAGCAUCUAAGCAUGAAGCCCCCCUCAAGAUGAGAUUUCCCAACUUCGGUUAUAAGAUCCCUCAAAGAUGAUGAGGUUAAUAGGUUCGAGGUGGAAGCAUGGUGACAUGUGGAGCUGACGAAUACUAAUCGAUCGAAGACUUAAUCAA
rnacentral:rRNA from 1 species